CCUUCUUGGAUGUGAUGAGCUCAUCCCAGUUGUAAGAGGCUUUGCUAGGUAUGUUAUUGAUUUUGCCCACCUCCACUCCAGUUCUAACUAUUUGAAGGAGGGGGAAUGCACCAUGUUAAGUUGGGAUUGCGUCGUCUUCCGGAUUUUGGUGCAUGUUAAUGAAUUAGGCAAGUGUCUUCUGGGUUCAUCUUAUCACGAGAGAUAUGAAAAGCUGGUGGUGUGGGGAUAUUAGCUGUCACCGAUAUCGUAUGGACUAAAUGACAGCCACUGCAAUCAAUUUCUUGGAAGAAGUUGGAGACAUAUUCCUAACAACUCAACAGAACCUUUAGGAGUAAUGGUCUUGAAGUCUUGAGGACUGUUCCCGGAAUGUUGGUACUGGAUUGGAGUAGUAGCUUUAUUUGGAUUUCUUCUUCUAUUAAACUUCCUUUUUAUCUUGGCAGUUCAGUAUUUUCAACGUAAGUACUUUAAAUAUCUUAAACUUGAAUACCAACCCAGACUAUUUUCUAUCUUUGCAUGGAAAAGACAUUCUAACAACCCAAAUAACUUUCUGCAGCUCUUGAUAAGCCUCUUUCAGUACUUGCUAAAGAGGCCUUGGCAAAGAAACAAGCCACCAAAAUAGGAGAGGCCAUUGAAUUAUUGUCAACAG